GGAACAAACAUGUAUCAAGCUGAGUACCAAAAAGUACCUUUCCAAAGAAAAGGGGUACACAAUGAAAUAUGCAUGGUGAAAGGUACAUAUAUGUACCCUUUGAAAAGGUACAUUGUCAUAUAAAGUAAUAGUUAAGGUACAACAUUCACAAAUGUACCAUUAAAGGUCCUAUCGUGUUCCCAUGGGGUACUAGAAGUACCUUUUGGGUACACAUCCUGUAGGGUACAAAAAAGUACCUUAUUCAAGUCAAAGGGUACACUUCCUGUGGGGUACUAAGAAGUACUUUUCAAGUUACAGGGUACACAAUCCUCUGGGGUAGCAGCUACUUAUGCGUGCCUUUUCUAAGACUGAUAGAGCCUUUGUCAUAAUUUGUAAAUGUGGUAUGCCUUGGACAGAUUGACACAAUAAAUGUGUUAUCUCCUGGGCGGGCAGUUUGUGUUUAUGAAAAUAAAAACAAUACAUAUAUUUCAUAUGGUAGCACAUAAAAAGCUCUAUAAAUAAUGAAUAAUCAUUUAUAAAAAUAAAUAUACAUUAUAUAUAUUUCAAUUUAUUACACGAAACGUUAACGGCUGUUUUUUGUCGGCCAAUCACGUCACGCCUCUCGUCUUUUCAAACUGCGGCGGAUCGCGCUCUUUUCACUCCGGCCUGGUUUGAGGGGAAUCGCGAUGCUUUGGACCGUUCCGUAAGUUACGGUAAAUAAUACUUGUUAAAAUGCGUAGUGCUAAAAAAAAACGAUCAUAGAAAUAGUUAGCUAACAAAUAUGUUGUUAAUUAGUUGGAGAGUGUAGCGUUAGUGAAGUGUUAGCCAGGCAGAGCGCACGACAAGCUGUCCAGCACACCAGAUCAUUAUAAACAACUAAAAGAGUGCAUUAUAAGUGAAGGAUUUAACGUGGAGCGUUUGCUUUGCUGCAUCAGGACGUUGUCAAGAAUUUGAUUUGAUGUUGACAGAGAUGAAGGUUUGACCGAUUUCACGUCAAGCACAGGAGCCCUACCACAAAUGCUGGAGAGUGCCGUCAAAUCCAGAUGGAAAGACUGAGGAGUUGAAAGCUGAUUCUACCCUGGAAAGGAGUAAUUUUCUCUUUUAGAGGGGAUGGAAGACCAAGCAGAUACUAUAUUAAAAAGUGCUACACAAUGAUGGUUGUUCUUGCAUAUCUUCUGCCACCGUUGCCUGGAAGUCGAUGCAAUGUUAAAUCUGAAAUUUCAUUUCUUUCAAUUUAAUUUUGUACCGCGUGGAGCCACUAUUGCAUCCCUCUGCAGCAGUUUUGAGACCGCAUCAAAGACCAGACCACAGCCGAUCUACAUUGGAAGUUUGAAGAGCACAACAUGACAGUACAUCAUUACGAGGAUUGACAGAGUAACCAUUCCUGUGGAUGAGGGCCUGAUGUGCUGUGGACAAUAUAUUCUAGGUGUGAAACUUGUCCUGUCCACCACAGAUUAGUUUGGUCUUUUCUUUCUAAGACUGGAGCAUCUAAUAUUGAAACACCACAUUCUCUUCUUUUUAAAACUGACAUCGUUUCGCUGGAAAACAACCUCUUCUUCAGCUGUGAUCGUGUACAGCCCGUUUAAACACUUCAAAGACUUUUGAAACUGCAUUGAUUUGGACUUAAAAACGAUGGUAACCAAUGAACUCCAUUGUUAGAAGAAAAAUCCAGAAAUGUUUUCCUCAAAAAACAAAAUUUCUCUCCCACUGAGGAAAGAAAGACAUGGAUAUCUUGGAUGGCAUUGGGUGAGUAAAUUAUUAGGAAAUUUUCUUUUUGGGGUGAACUAAUCCUUUAAGCAUACAAUGAACACUCACAGUAGCUUUUAGUCAAUAUAAAGCGUUAUGUUAUCUUAUGUUAUGUUAUGUUCUUACACUGCAGUAAGUAAUGCAUUCAUAAAGUGAUUCUCUAUUAAAGUUGUUUAAAUGUGAAAAACUUUGUUUAUUAAAGUUUAUUGCAAAUGAAGAUUG